UAGGGAAUAUUAGUAAUGGGCGAAAGCCUGAACUAGCAACACCGCGUGUGCGAAGAAGGCCUUCGGGUUAUAAAGCACUUUUUGAGAGGAUGAGGAAGGACGGUACUCUCAGAAUAAGUCUCGGCUAACUACGUGCCAGCAGCCGCGGUAACACGUAGGAGGCAAACGUUAUCCGGAUUUACUGGGCGUAAAGCGCGUGUAGGUGGUUUGGUAAGUAGAGCGUGAAAGCUCCUGGCUCAACUGGGAGAGGUCGUUCUAAACUGCCGGACUAGAGGAUGGUAGAGGGAGGUGGAAUUCCGGGUGUAGCGGUGAAAUGCAUAGAUAUUAGGAGGAACACCAGUGGCGAAGGCGGCUUUCUGGACUGUAACUGACACUGAGGUACGAAAGCGUGGGGAGCAAACA
rnacentral:rRNA from 1 species